rnacentral:rRNA from 1 species
GAUGAACGCUGGCGGCGUGCCUAAUACAUGCAAGUCGAACGAGGUGCUUUUGUAGCAAUACGAGAGUAUCCUAGUGGCGAACGGGUGAGUAACGCGUUGGUGACCUGCCCCAAAGUGUGGGAUAACAGUCCGAAAGGAUUGCUAAUACCGCAUGUGGUCAUGAUGUUUAGAAACUGAUGACUAAAGCAGCAAUGCGCUUUGGGAGGGACCUGCGUCCCAUCAGCUAGUUGGUGAGGUAAUGGCUCACCAAGGCGACGACGGGUAGGGGACCUGAGAGGGUGGCCCCCCACAAUGGAACUGAAACACGGUCCAUACACCUACGGGUGGCAGCAGUAGGGAAUAUUGCUCAAUGGGCGAAAGCCUGAAGCAGCAACGCCGCGUGCGCGAUGAAGGUCUUCGGAUCGUAAAGCGCUUUUCUGCGAGAUGAGAAAGGACAGUAUCGUAGGAAUAAGUCUCGGCUAACUACGUGCCAGCAGCCGCGGUAAGAC